GAUGAACGCUGGCGGCGUGCCUAAUACAUGCAAGUCGAGCGAACGGACGAGAAGCUUGCUUCUCUGAUGUUAGCGGCGGACGGGGGAGUAACACGUGGAUAACCUACCUAUAAGACUGGGAUAACUUCGGGAAACCGGAGCUAAUACCGGAUAAUAUUUUGAACCGCAUGGUUCAAAAAUGAAAGACGGGCUUGCUGUCACUUAUAGAUGGAUCCGCGCUGCAUUAGCUAGUUGGUAAGGUAACGGCUUACCAAGGCAACGAUGCAUAGCCGACCUGAGAGGGUGAUCGGCCACACUGGAACUGAGACACGGUCCAGACUCCUACGGGAGGCAGCAGUAGGGAAUCUUCCGCAAUGGGCGAAAGCCUGACGGAGCAACGCCGCGUGAGUGAUGAAGGUCUUCGGAUCGUAAAACUCUGUUAUUAGGGAAGAACAUAUGUGUAAGUAACUGUGCACAUCUUGACGGUACCUAAUCAGAAAGCCACGGCUAACUACGUG
rnacentral:rRNA from 1 species